UCUCCUGUCGUAUAGUGGUUAGUAUGUGAGCUUGUCAUCCAACAACGCUCGAGACCCGGGUUCAAUUCCCGGCGGGAGAG
rfam:Gaeumannomyces graminis var. tritici R3-111a-1 unplaced genomic scaffold supercont2.3, whole genome shotgun sequence.